rnacentral:rRNA from 1 species
CUCAACCUGGGAAUUGCAGUUAAUACUGCUUGGCUAGAGUCUGGUAGAGGGUGGUGGAAUUCCCGGUGUAGCGGUGAAAUGCGUAGAUAUCUAGAGGAACGCCGGUGGCGAAAGCGACCCGCUGGGCCUGCUCUGACGCUGAGACGCGAAAGCGUAGGGAGCAAACGGGAUUAGAUACCCCGGUAGUCUACGCUGUAAACGAUGCGCACUAGGUUUGAAGACCUCUGACGGUCGUCGGGCCGAAGCAAAAGUAUUAAGUGCGCCGCCUGGGGAGUACGGCCGCAAGGCUAAAACUCAAAGGAAUUGACGGGGGCUCACACAAGCGGUGGAGCAUGUGGAUCAAUUCGAAGCAACGCGCAGAACCUUACCUGGGUUUGACAUGCUUGGAUGCCCUCCUGGAAACAGGAGUAAGCUGCCCUUUGGGUGAAACU